rnacentral:lncRNA from 1 species
AAUCAAAAGCGCCAAUAUAGUAAAUAUAAACCAUCCACGAGGGAGCUAAAGAAGCGGAUUCCUCCACAUAGUAAUUUCAAUUCUGAGAGACUGUUCCAGUUGAUGAAGGCACAGGAUAAAGAAAGUGGAAGGAUAAAAAUUACUCCAAAUCAAACAAGAAAGCUAUCGAAGGCUCAAAUCAAGUCGACUGAAGUGCCAUCUGCUCCUCCAUUUCCCCCAGAAGCUGAGGACCUAAAUCUACAUACAGUAACUAUGGAUCUCCUGAUUCCCAGUUUACCUGACCCAGAACUUAUUUCCAACUCCUCUUCUGCCAUAAGCCUGGAGGCAGAUGAAACCCACGCCAAUGGCAAACUAAAUCAGCAAACAAAUACUGUGUCAACUCUACCCUCACUUCCCCCUGUACAGGAGGAUCCAAACCCAGUGGCUGCAAUUGUGGAUUUAUUGUCUCUCAAAUCACCCAACCGGGCACUUUUACCUAGCACCUCAUCUCCGGCCAUCAAUAUACAAUCAGAUAAGACUGCUGAAAGUAAAUCUGCUCAGUCACCAAAAAUAUCAGUGGUGCUUUCAAAGAAUCAGCUAGUGUUCCUUAACCUUCCUAAGCCUAAUGGACAACUAACUCAGCUAGGAAAGAAAUGGCAUCUCUUACAAAUUUUUGAAAAGAUAGGAGUGUCCCACCUGUCAAUCGAAGGCAUAGAGAAUGUUGAAUAUCUUUGCUUUGUCAACCCCACCUUUGGGAUAAAAGCUACUUUCACAGGCCCGUCUUCUGUGUAUGGUAUACUUAGACAAAAGCAGGCUUUUGCUAGUCUAGGGUUUCAGGUGAGGAGACACUUUGUUAAUACCAUAAUCCAACCAUUGAUCAAGGAUCGGUCUAUUAGGGAUGGACAAUCUAUACAACAGGAUAAAUCUUUAUCAACUUAUAACUUGAUAUGUUUAGACCUUAGUGAUGCAAAUUCAAGAUGUGAGAAUUUAAAUUCUACUGGACAUAGAAGCAAGAAGCUCGCUUAUAAUAACCAAUUAAACAGAGACACAAGCGACAUCCUCCGAAGCUGUCUGGAAGGAAUUGACUACUUUUCAGAGGGUACUCCGAUAGUGCCCACGAUGAUCUCCGAAGAGGAGAAAGUUCUAAUUGACAGAUACUUCACUUUGCCUAUAACAGAACAACAGCAUAUCAUAAACAGGCUCCAAACGCUUAUCCAUAAUUUAGUUAGUAACUCAGUUAGUUUAAAUCCCCUGCAGGAGCAAGCAAAUAAACUCCAAACAAAAUCUGCAGACUUCCAUCCAACAGCAACACAAGCCUCUUGUAUACAAAUUCUACCAGAGGCUGACCGGUCACAUAGACUGCUAUGAACAGACCCAACCUGCCAAGCACCAUCACCUCUAGCCAGACC